rnacentral:rRNA from 1 species
GACGAACGCUGGCGGUGUGCUUAACAUAUGCAAGUCGAACGGAAAGGCCCUGCUUUUGUGGGGUGCUCGAGUGGCGAACGGGUGAGUAACACGUGAGUAACCUGCCCUUGACUUUGGGAUAACUUCAGGAAACUGGGGCUAAUACCGGAUAGGAGCUCCUGCUGCAUGGUGGGGGUUGGAAAGUUUCGGCGGUUGGGGAUGGACUCGCGGCUUAUCAGCUUGUUGGUGGGGUAGUGGCUUACCAAGGCUUUGACGGGUAGCCGGCCUGAGAGGGUGACCGGCCACAUUGGGACUGAGAUACGGCCCAGACUCCUACGGGAGGCAGCAGUGGGGAAUAUUGCACAAUGGGCGGAAGCCUGAUGCAGCAACGCCGCGUGCGGGAUGAUGGCCUUCGGGUUGUAAACCGCUUUCGCCUGUGACGAAGCGUGAGUGACGGUAAUGGGUAAAGAAGCACCGGCUAACUACGUG